rnacentral:rRNA from 1 species
AACGAACGCUGGCAGCAUGCCUAACACAUGCAAGUCGAACGAGACCUUCGGGUCUAGUGGCGCACGGGUGCGUAACGCGUGGGAACCUGCCCUUAGGUUCGGAAUAACUCCCCGAAAGGGGUGCUAAUACCGGAUAAUGUCUUCGGACCAACGAUUUAUCGCCUUUGGAUGGGCCCGCGUUGGAUUAGCUAGUUGGUAGGGUAAAAGCCUACCAAGGCGACGAUCCAUAGCUGGUCUGAGAGGAUGAUCAGCCACACUGGGACUGAGACACGGCCCAGACUCCUACGGGAGGCAGCAGUGGGGAAUAUUGGACAAUGGGCGAAAGCCUGAUCCAGCAAUGCCGCGUGAGUGAUGAAGGCCUUAGGGUUGUAAAGCUCUUUUACCCGGGAUGAGAAUGACAGUACCGGGAGAAUAAGCUCCGGCUAACUCCGUG